rnacentral:rRNA from 1 species
GUGCCAGCCGCCGCGGUAAUACGUAGGGUGCAAGCGUUAAUCGGAAUUACUGGGCGUAAAGCGUGCGCAGGCGGUUUUGUAAGACAGAUGUGAAAUCCCCGGGCUCAACCUGGGACCUGCAUUUGUGACUGCAAAGCUAGAGUACGGCAGAGGGGGAUGGAAUUCCGCGUGUAGCAGUGAAAUGCGUAGAUAUGCGGAGGAACACCGAUGGCGAAGGCAAUCCCCUGGGCCUGUACUGACGCUCAUGCACGAAAGCGUGGGGAGCAAACGGGAUUAGAUACCCUGGUAGUCCACGCCCUAAACGAUGUCAACUGGUUGUUGGGCCUUCGCUGGCUCAGUAACGAAGCUAACGCGUGAAGUUGACCGCCUGGGGAGUACGGCCGCAAGGUUGAAACUUAAAGAAAUUGACGG